UGGCCAGAGGGGCCUUACUCUGUUCUCUGCAGUAGAUAUUAACUUUAUUAACUUUGUUCCUUUUGCAAGUUAAGUUGGUUCUUUGUGAAGGUGGGUGCGUGCGAGUGUGGUCUCUGUUACCCUGUCUGUAACAUGGAGAGGAUAACCCCAGCUCAAAGGCCUCCCUCAGGUCUGCUGAGAGGAUCAAGUGGGAUAUCAUCUGAUAAAGUGAUUUGACUUUUACAAAGGACUGUCCAAAUAGAAGGUUGUGGUGUUAUCUCUGACAUCUGAAGCGAGGUCCUUGGAUGUUCCUGGAGUCAAACCUGACAACAAGGAAACUUUCAGCAUGACCGAGAAAAGGGUCUCCCUUAGCUCAGCUCCUGGGAGGGCCCCUGAAGGAGAUAUAAAAUGUGAGUCUGUGGGUGGGAGUGAUUGUGCUGGGCAUAUUUAAUGUAUGUCAGCAUUCACUCACA
rnacentral:lncRNA from 1 species